rnacentral:rRNA from 1 species
UACAGAGGUCUCAAGCGUUGUUCGGAUUCAUUGGGCGUAAAGGGUGCGUAGGUGGCGCCGUAAGUCGGGUGUGAAAUUUCGGAGUUUAACUCCGAAACUGCAUUCGAUACUGCCGUGCUUGAGGACUGGAGAGGAGACUGGAAUUUACGGUGUAGCGGUGAAAUGCGUAGAUAUCGUAAGGAAGACCAGUGGCGAAGGCGGGUCUCUGGACAGUUCCUGACGCUGAGGCACGAAGGUCAGGGGAGCAAACGGG